rnacentral:rRNA from 1 species
UACCAGCACCCCGAGUUGUCGGGACGAUUAUUGGGCCUAAAGCAUCCGUAGCGUGUUCUGCAAGUCCUCCGUUAAAUCCACCUGCUCAACGGAUGGGCUGCGGAGGAUACCGCAGAGCUAGGAGGCGGGAGAGGCAAACGGUACUCAGUGGGUAGGCGUAAAAUCCAUUGAUCUACUGAAGACCACCAGUGGCGAAGGCGGUUUGCCAGAACGCGCUCGACGGUGAGGGAUGAAAGCUGGGGGAGCAAACCGGAUUAGAUACCCGGGUAGUCCCAGCUGUAAACGAUGCAGACUCGGUGAUGGGUUGGCUUCGAGCCAACCCAGUGCCGCAGGGAAGCCGUUAAGUCUGCCGCCUGGGGAGUACGGUCGCAAGACUGAAACUUAAAGGAAUUGACGG